rnacentral:rRNA from 1 species
UACGUAGGGCGCAAGCGUUGUCCGGAAUUAUUGGGCGUAAAGAGCUCGUAGGCGGUUUGUCGCGUCUGUCGUGAAAGCCCACGGCUUAACUGUGGGUCUGCGGUGGAUACGGGCAGACUAGAGGCAGGUAGGGGAGAAUGGAAUUCCCGGUGUAGCGGUGAAAUGCGCAGAUAUCGGGAGGAACACCAGUGGCGAAGGCGGUUCUCUGGGCCUGUACUGACGCUGAGGAGCGAAAGCGUGGGGAGCGAACAGG